rnacentral:misc_RNA from 1 species
GAUGAAGAACGUAGCGAAAUGCGAUACGUAAUGUGAAUUGCAGAAUUCAGUGAAUCAUCGAGUCUUUGAACGCACAUUGCGCCCCCUGGUAUUCCGGGGGGCAUGCCUGUCCGAGCGUCAUUGCUGCCCUCAAGCACGGCUUGUGUGUUGGGCCUCCGUCCUCCUCCCGGGGGACGGGCCCGAAAGGCAGCGGCGGUACCGCGUCCGGUCCUCGAGCGUAUGGGGCUUCGUCACCCGCUCUUGUAGGCCCGGCCGGCGCUUGCCGACACAUCAAUCUUUUUUCCAGGUUGACCUCGGAUCAGGUAGGGAUACCCGCUGAACUUAAGCAUAUCAAUAAGCGGAGGA